UCAAACUGUUCUGAGACCAGUGCAGACAGACAGCACACUGGAGGUUAAGUCAUGCACUAAAUAGGGAGCAAGGGAGCAUCCUAUAUCUCUCCUAUAACUGUUCUGAGACCAGUGCAGACAGACAGCACACUGGAGGUUAAGUCAUGCACUAAAUAGGGAGCAAGGGAGCAUCCUAUAGCUCUCCUAUAACUGUUCUGAGACCAGUGCAGACAGACAGCACACUGGAGGUUAAGUCAUGCACUAAAUAGGGAGCAAGGGAGCAUCCUAUAGCUCUCUAUAACUGUUCUGAGACCAGUGCAGACAGACAGCACACUGGAGGUUAAGUCAUGCACUAAAUAGGGAGCAAGGGAGCAUCCUAUAUCUCUCCUAUAACUGUUCUGAGACCAGUGCAGACAGACAGCACACUGGAGGUUAAGUCAUGCACUAAAUAGGGAGCAAGGGAGCAUCCUAUAUCUCUCCUAUAACUGUUCUGAGACCAGUGCAGACAGACAGCACACUGGAGGUUAAGUCAUGCACUAAAUAGGGAGCAAGGGAGCAUCCUAUAUCUCUCCUAUAACUGUUCUGAGACCAGUGCAGACAGACAGCACACUGGAGGUUAAGUCAUGCACUAAAUAGGGAGCAAGGGAGCAUCCUAUAUCUCUCCUAUAACUGUUCUGAGACCAGUGCAGACAGACAGCACACUGGAGGUUAAGUCAUGCACUAAAUAGGGAGCAAGGGAGCAUCCUAUAUCUCUCUAUAACUGUUCUGAGACCAGUGCAGACAGACAGCACACUGGAGGUUAAGUCAUGCACUAAAUAGGGAGCAAGGGAGCAUCCUAUAUCUCUCUAUAACUGUUCUGAGACCAGUGCAGACAGACAGCACACUGGAGGUUAAGUCAUGCACUAAAUAGGGAGCAAGGGAGCAUCCUAUAUCUCUCUAUAACUGUUCUGAGACCAGUGCAGACAGACAGCACACUGGAGGUUAAGUCAUGCACUAAAUAGGGAGCAAGGGAGCAUCCUAUAUCUCUCCUAUAACUGUUCUGAGACCAGUGCAGACAGACAGCACACUGGAGGUUAAGUCAUGCACUAAAUAGGGAGCAAGGGAGCAUCCUAUAUCUCUCCUAUAACUGUUCUGAGACCAGUGCAGACAGACAGCACACUGGAGGUUAAGUCAUGCACUAAAUAGGGAGCAAGGGAGCAUCCUAUAUCUCUCCUAUAACUGUUCUGAGACCAGUGCAGACAGACAGCACACUGGAGGUUAAGUCAUGCACUAAAUAGGGAGCAAGGGAGCAUCCUAUAUCUCUCCUAUAACUGUUCUGAGACCAGUGCAGACAGACAGCACACUGGAGGUUAAGUCAUGCACUAAAUAGGGAGCAAGGGAGCAUCCUAUAUCUCUCUAUAACUGUUCUGAGACCAGUGCAGACAGACAGCACACUGGAGGUUAAGUCAUGCACUAAAUAGGGAGCAAGGGAGCAUCCUAUAUCUCUCUAUAACUGUUCUGAGACCAGUGCAGACAGACAGCACACUGGAGGUUAAGUCAUGCACUAAAUAGGGAGCAAGGGAGCAUCCUAUAUCUCUCUAUAACUGUUCUGAGACCAGUGCAGACAGACAGCACA